rnacentral:rRNA from 1 species
ACCGAUUGAAUGGCUUAGUGAGGCCUUCGGACUGGCCCAAGGAGGUCGGCAACGACCACCUAGGGCCGGAAAGUUCGUCAAACUAAGUCAUUUAGAGGAAGUAAAAGUCGUAACAAGGUUUCCGUAGGUGAACCUGCGGAAGGAUCAUUAAAAGAGAGCGGCCGCCCCUCGCGGGCGGCCACCCCUCUACCCCUUGAAUUCGCACACCGCGUAGCCCCCCCGGAACCCCUCGCGGGGGAUGGGGGAGCAAAAAACCAUCAAACGUUCUGACCUCGCUCAGUCUGAGCCACAUUGGCAAAUAAAUCAAAACUUUUAACAACGGAUCUCUUGGCUCUGGCAUCGAUGAAGAACGCAGCGAAAUGCGAUAAGUAAUGUGAAUUGCAGAAUUCCGUGAAUCAUCGAAUCUUUGAACGCACAUUGCGCCCUCCGGCAUUCCGGAGGGCACGCCUGUCCGAGCGUCAUUACAACCCUCAAGCUCCGCUUGGUAUUGGGCGACCGCCCGCCAGCCCUCGGGCGGCGGACGCGCCUCGAAGAACUCGGCGGUCCCAGGACGGCUCCGGGCGUAGCAAAAGCGAAUCGCCUUGGAGUCCGCCCCGGCGGCCUGCCGCACAAAUGACACGCAACUUUUUGCAAGGUUGACCUCGGAUCAGGCGGGGAUACCCGCUGAACUUAAGCAUAUCAAUAAGCGGAGGAAAAGAAACCAACAGGGAUUGCCUUAGUAACGGCGAGUGAAGCGGCAACAGCUCAAAUUUGAAAUCUGGUCCCCCCGGGGCCCGAGUUGUAAUUUGCAGAGGGUGCUUCGGCGUCGGCUCCGGUCCAAGUUCCUUGGAACAGGACGUCACAGAGGGUGAGAACCCCGUACGUGGCCGGAAGUCUUCGCCGUGUGAAGCCCCUUCGACGAGUCGAGUUGUUUGGGAAUGCAGCUCUAAAUGGGAGGUAAAUUUCUUCUAAAGCUAAAUACCGGCCAGAGACCGAUAGCGCACAAGUAGAGUGAUCGAAAGAUGAAAAGCACUUUGGAAAGAGAGUUAAAAAGCACGUGAAAUUGUUAAAAGGGAAGCAGUUGCAGCCAGACUUGGCCGCGGGCGUUCAACCGUGCUUCUGCACGGUGUACUCGACCGCGGUCAGGCCAGCAUCAGUUCGGGCGGCCGGAUAAAGGUCCUGGGAAUGUGGCUCCCCUCGGGGAGUGUUAUAGCCCGGGGCGUAAUACGGCCAGCCUGGACUGAGGUCCGCGCUUCGGCUAGGAUGCUGGCAUAAUGGCUGUAACUGGCCCGUCUUGAAACACGGACCAAGGAGUCUAACAUCUAUGCGAGUGUUUGGGUGUCAAACCCAUACGCGUAAUGAAAGUGAACGGAGGUGAGAGCCGCAAGGCGCAUCAUCGACCGAUCCUGAUGUCUUCGGAUGGAUUUGAGUAUGAGCAUAGCUGUUGGGACCCGAAAGAUGGUGAACUAUGCCUGAAUAGGGUGAAGCCAGAGGAAACUCUGGUGGAGGCUCGCAGCGGUUCUGACGUGCAAAUCGAUCGUCAAAUUUGGGUAUAGGGGCGAAAGACUAAUCGAACCAUUGACCUACUAGGUGGUUAACAGGCGGCUAAAAGUGCCCGCCUAGUCCCUUCACUCGGGGCGACGCUAUCAAAUUGCGGGGACAUCCUUAGAGCUCAGGCUACCGCGGCCCGCCGAAAGGCAGGGUGCAGCACCGGGGUAACGACCCAGGGGAAGGUAAAAACGCCUGAGAUUGGACAAUCCGCAGCCAAGUCCUAAACGCCCUCGGGGCGCACGGAUGCAGUUCACAGACUAGAUGGUAGCGGGUCGCCCUCAACGGGCGGCUUAAGAUAUAGUCGACUCCCCGCGGAGACGCGGGCGACGGGGCAAAGCUCGAAGGAUGGGUGAGCGGCGAGCGGCCGCGCCUGAGAGCCCGAACCCCGCCGGGAAGCGCGCGUUCGCGCCUCCGAGC